rnacentral:lncRNA from 1 species
CCAGCUAGUGUUAUUAGGUGUUCUUGUUGUGGGGAGCCUUUAAAGUUGAGAAACUCAAAGAAAAAGUCGAUGAAUGCCACCAUUCUUUCAAAUACUCCAGCUCCUUCCCCUCGAGUGGCAUGGAGAAAUGAGGAAGUGCGCAAUCUAGAAUUGACACACAUUCGCUUCAACGAGUUCAAGUUAAUGUCAGAUAUCGACUCAGAGCUUCAAGAAGAUGAAAUCGGAAUCAAAGCAGAUCACCCGCGUAAGCUUAUAUUUUUAGCAAUCUAUGUUACUUUCUUCUUGUGCAGUUGUAAAUUUUUAUCUGAAAAAAUAAAUCGCCGAGGUUUAAGAUACAGCCACAAUAUUAUGUGCCAAUUUGUAAGAUACAUAUAAUCAAUUAGAGUAGAGAGACCGACCAUUAGACUGCACCACACACAUUACCACACAAAAAAAAAAGCACUACAUUUUCCUUUUGUACACUAUGAUUAAGGUAGUUUCUUUAGUUUAAUUUUGACCAAUGGUAGUUUCUUUCUCAGUGUAUUGUUUUUUAUUUUUGCUGAAUUUUGUCUUCCUAGUCAUGGGAGCAAGUUCCUAACUGACAACCUUCCAGGGAUUUGAACACUUUCUAUUCUAAAGAAAUUUUGCUUUAUAUUGUUUGUAGAAGUCAUAGAAGAUUUAAAAUCUGCAACAGUGCGAUUUCUACCAGAGUCUGAGGACAUAAGUGAAGAUGCUUCCAAAACUCCUAGUUUCAUUAGAGGAAACAAGUUUUUUGGAAUCCCUCUAACAGAUGCAGCUUCAGGUCCAGGCACUCCUAGAUGGGCUAACCGGCUUGCCAGAAAAAAGCAAUUUGAGAAGGAGUUCUUUGCCGAGUCCAAUGGCACAAAUGCUGCAAAUGAAGCAGAGGGCGACAUUGUGCAGCGUUUGAAAAAACAAAUUCGUUUGGAUCGCAAGUCCCUCAUCGAGUUGUACAUGGAACUGGAUGAAGAAAGAAGUGCUUCUGCAGUUGCUGCAAAUAAUGCAAUGGCCAUGAUCACCAGGCUGCAGGCAGAGAAGGCCUCUGUGCAAAUGGAGGCUUUACAAUAUCAGAGAAUGAUGGAUGAGCAGGCAGAGUAUGACCAAGAAGCCCUACAAGUUAUGAAGGAUAUUAUUGUCAAGAGAGAGGAUGAGAUCAAGGUUUUAGAGGCUGAUCUUGAGGCAUACAAAGAAAAAUAUGGACAUUUGAAGAAGGUAGGUAGUGAUGAAUGUGAAGUGGAUGUAGAUGAAGAUUACCAAGAGUUGAAAUCUCAAACUUAUUCAUCCUUUGGUGAGAAAUCUGAGUGCGAAAGUCCUGGUGAAGCGGAUUACAAUCGUGAAAACGAGGAUAGUCCUGAAGGAAUAAGAGAAAAUAGAGGGGGGACCAUUGAUGAAGCAUCAUUAGAUUUUGAGGGUGAGAAAUCUUAUCUUUUAGGUAUGUUGACAAAUCUAGAGAAGAAAAUUCAGUUCUCUUCAGAAGAGGGCACUGGUUCCUCGAGUUCUAAUCUUGACAUGGUUAACAAAGAAGAUGAAGACAGAGGUAAUUAACAUGCAUGUGCAACUCAUUCCCUUUUCUUUGUUCUUUAACCAAUCUGCUAAUUUUUUGAUCGAUCUUCUCGGGUGGCAGGAAUUGACAAUAAGGCCGUCCUUAAAAGAGAGUCGUCACUAUUUAGGGAGAGGUUGAGAGCCAUUGAAGCAGAUAGUGGAUUCUUAAAACAUGCAGCGAUGACACUCCAGAAGGGUGGUGAAGGAACAAAACUGUUGACACAGAUAGCUCAACAUCUGGAAAAGCUUCGACACCCAGAGAAAACGGAGGACACAGAUGCAUGACAUGUUUGUCCUAAUUAAGGUCUCUCUCUGCUGCCUCUCUAUAUUUAUUUUAAAAUUAGAUUUAGACUCUUUGACAUCAACUUCAUUUAAUUAUAUGCAACUUAUCUAACUAACUAACUAUUGUGUGUUUGCAGUUCCUGUUUUACUUUCCUUCUUUCUCCAUAUUAGGAUGUAUAUACGUACUGCCCUGCCCUGCCCUGCCAUAUUGGAACUAAUUAGGAGGGAGGAUUUAAGUAGCAUAUUGAAGCAAGCUUUGGGUCCUCAAAACCUCAUCUCCAUCCGGUAAUACUCGAUCUUUGUUAACCUUGUAUCUAUAUACAAUAUUUGGUAGUACUAGUAUAUUGGUAACUUGUAAUGGGAGUAGCCUUUAGAACAUGAUUCAUUAUAUAUGUUGUGGUGAUUAGGAUUAUGGUAUGUAUGGUAUCCCAGGUGAAGCCGCCGCCGAGGAGGCCUAGCUAGCUCUUUCUAAUCAUCCAUCUAACUUGAUUCUUUCAAUAUCACUUUUAGUUGAUGAUGUAUAGAUUUGAUGUAGCCAAGUGCAGUGUCAUCAUUUUUCAGAAAUCUUGAAUUAAGAUCUUCAUCAGAUUUCAUUAUUUGAUUAAACUAUUAAAUCUACUUACUUAAUACAAUGAUAGCAACUACGUACGUACCUUUAAUUUGUUCUGUAAUGGCUGGCUGGCUGGCUGGCUGGCUGGCUGGCUUACUUCAAAUUUGUGCAGGCGGAAGCUCAGCAGCCAUUAAUGUUUUCUGCAAGAUUCCCAAAACUGGUUAUCAAUUGUAAUAUUUCAGGGAAAAGAUGAUGCUUAACUAAAGUAAAGAAGAAGUAGGAUAACAUGAUUCUAAUCAAAUCAACAGCGUUAUAUAAUUUGAAGAUUUAGAAUACAAGGAAGGUGUCAGGGAUUUUCAGGUGAUCUUGGGGAGGGAGAGAGGGAGGAGCUAGGGGUAUACGUGUCACAUAAAACUUAAAACAGAGCAAACCUGACCGACUGACUGGGUGAAUACAGAAAGGCUCAUUAAUCCCCUCAAGUUAAGUUGUUG